CCUACGGGAGGCAGCAGUGGGGAAUAUUGCACAAUGGAGGAAACUCUGAUGCAGCAACGCCGCGUGGAGGAUGACGCAUUUCGGUGUGUAAACUCCUUUUAUAAGGGAAGAUAAUGACGGUACCUUAUGAAUAAGCACCGGCUAACUCCGUGCCAGCAGCCGCGGUAAUACGGAGGGUGCAAGCGUUACUCGGAAUCACUGGGCGUAAAGGAUGCGUAGGCUGGAAAUCAAGUCGAGAGUGAAAUCCAACGGCUCAACCGUUGAACUGCUCUCGAAACUGGUUACCUAGAAUAUGGGAGAGGUAGAUGGAAUUGGUGGUGUAGGGGUAAAAUCCGUAGAUAUCACCAGGAAUACCGAUUGCGAAGGCGAUCUACUGGAACAUUAUUGACGCUGAGGCAUGAAAGCGUGGGGAGCAAACAGGAUUAGAUACCCGAGUAGUC
rnacentral:rRNA from 1 species